rnacentral:misc_RNA from 1 species
GACCCCUUUGAAGUCCAAACCACGGGCAACAACAUCAGUGGCAAUCAAGACCCACAUAUUGCCAGCUCUGAAGUCAUCAACGGCAUUCUCACGCAGCUUUUGGGCCAAAUCAGAAUGUACAACACCAACUCUGAUACUGUCAAAUUUCAAUUCUUCAUAUAGUUCAUUUGCACGUGUCUUGUUUUGAACAAAAAUCAACACUGGUGGAUUCAGACUCUCUGCAAAGCUUUGACGAAGUGCAAGGAGUUUUCCUUCUUCACUUCCAGCAAAAACCAAUUUUUGCUUGAUGGUAUCAGAAGCAGUAUUCUUCCUGCCAACAAUUACUCGAACAGCAUCAUGCAUUAUUGUGCGCGCAAGCUCUUCAACAAAAUCAGGUAAAGUAGCACUAAACAGUGAGCGUAUUACUGAAGUGUUUGAGCAUGCUUUGGCCACAGAAUCAAUCUGCUUUAACAUGCCAAGCUCAAAUAACUUAUCAGAUUCAUCCAAAACAAGAUACUCAACCCUGCUUAAGUCAACCUUUUUCUUGCGUAUAGCUAAUUGUAAUCGAAGUGGUGUUGAUAUAAGAAUAUCACACAGCAGCUUCGAAAAAUCACCAUUUCUCACAAGUUCUUUUGUCAUUAGCUUAAUACGAAAUUUAUUCCCUUUAGCCAUUCUUUUGCACUCUCUGGUGGUUUGAGCAGCUAAUUCCCGUGUAGGACACAAGAUAACAGCUCUGAUCCCAUCCUUUGAUGCAUGCUUAAGUUUAAUAAGCAUGGGACAAACAAAAGCCAAGGUUUUCCCAGAUCCAGUUGGAGCACAAGCAAAGCAUUCUCGGCC